rnacentral:rRNA from 1 species
UACGUAGGGGGCAAGCGUUGUCCGGAAUUAUUGGGCGUAAAGAGCGCGUAGGCGGUCCGAUAAGUCGGCUGUGAAAGUCAGGGGCUCAACCCUUGAAAGCCGGCCGAUACUGUCGGACUAGAGUCCGGAAGAGGCAAGUGGAAUUCCCGGUGUAGCGGUGAAAUGCGCAGAUAUCAGGAGGAACACCGAUGGCGAAGGCAGCUCACUGGGACGGUACUGACGCUGAGACGCGAAAGCGUGGGGAGCAAACAGG